UACAGAGGUCUCAAGCGUUGUUCGGAUUCAUUGGGCGUAAAGGGUGUGUAGGUGGCGCCGUAAGUCGGGUGUGAAAACCCGCGGCUUAACCGUGGGCUUGCAGCCGAUACGGGCAGGCUAGAGUUCGGUAGGGGAGACUGGAAUUCCUGGUGUAGCGGUGAAAUGCGCAGAUAUCAGGAGGAACACCGGUGGCGAAGGCGGGUCUCUGGGACGGUACUGACGCUGAGACGCGAAAGCGUGGGGAGCGAACAGG
rnacentral:rRNA from 1 species